rnacentral:tRNA from 4 species
GCUCAGGUGGUGGAAUUGGUAGACACGUACGCUUGAGGGGCGUAUGGCGCAAGCCGUGGAGGUUCGAGUCCUCUUCUGAGCACCA